GUUUGAGUGCCUGUAGGAAGUGGCUCGAAUGGCACCGAGCAUUCAGCGGGAUAUCAACGAGCCCCCAGACCCUCCUAGCUUGCUCACACUGAAACAGAGUGUGGUCCACGAUCUCAUCCAACUAGCACCUUAAGUAUUGAAGUUGGAUGCCCAGUCUCCACCUGCCAACACCGAUCUCGUUGGUAUCCGACUCCAAACCACCUUACAGAGGAGCAAGGUUGCCCGUGGGUGGAGACCAAACCUCCAGAUUUAGGUGCAGUCUAGCCUCAGGUGCUGUUCACUCUGAAGGAUGCAAUAGAUGUCUUCCGCUCUGACUCUAGGGCUGCCAAAUGUACUCUAAACCCACAUAUUCGGACAUGCACUUUUCAGAUUAGGCAUCGACCAGACUCUCUCUAUGAGGUACUUUCCAAAUAGAUAGCCAAUCUGACCGAUAUCCCACCCUGCCCCCUUAGGAUGGGAAGGUCGCAAACACAAAGUUCGUCCGCAGCUUCAACGUUGACCAUGGUCGGCCAGAGCCUCAUCGACAGAGAGUCCAUCUAGGGGUCCUCCAUUGCAUCGACACUGCACCAAUCGCGGAUUAACCACCUGGUGUUGGCCAAGGUAGUGGGCACAUACCUAUAGAUCUCCCGCCAGAGGCAGAAACACCUCCGGCCCCUUUAAGCUACCCCAUCCACCGCCACUGAACCGCAGCGAGCAGUCAUCAUCUGACUCCAGAAGCACUGCGGCUCAAGAACUUGUCUCGCCGCAUGCCGAACAAACAGCACCUCUCUCUCAUGCGGGUCGGUUGGUAGACCGUCUCCUAAGCCAGUAGAUGUACUCCAUGACCACCACCAUGUGAGCCCUAGAGAAAGUUUCGGAGGAGCCACUCAAUCUUCAUUAGCACAUCUUCGGAAUGACAGUGUUGCACAUAAGGUAAAUCGGUAUGGAGCUCAGGACCGACCUAACUAGUGCCAACCUAUCCAUCAUGGAUAACGAGGCCGCCCUCUAGCUCUCUAGCUACUCCUGAAUGCGCUGCACCAUGCUGAGACACUUUGACACCUGCAGUCUCUUCCCCAUAAUGGAGAUGCCCAAAUAGCUCCACAACCCCUCCUGCUUCCUCAUGCCUAGGAUCCCCCUGAUCUCUUGCUUCAUCUGCCACUUAAUCUUUGUACUGAAGAAAAUGAUAGACUUGUGAAAGUUUACCCUCUGCCCUGAUGCCUUGUAGUAGUCCUCCAGGACACCUCUGAAGGCCAGUGCAUCCCUCGUCCUCGCCCUAGCCAGGAGGAGGCAGUCGUCUGCAAAUAAAAGAUGGAAGAUCGGUCAAGCACCGGGGGCUGGUACAUAGGCGUUCAACUCUCGCUCCUCACAAGCAAUCCACAGGGCGUGAGAUAACACAUCAGCACAAAUGAUAAACAAGUAAGGGGACAAGGGCAACCUUGGCGAAGCUCGAAAGUGGAGUAGAAGAAAAGUGACGACGUCCCAUUGAUCAGGAUGAAAAAGGACAGCCUCUGCACAUAGCCAAGAACCUAAACUAUCCAGGUCUCAUGGAAGCCCAAGCUCUCCAAUACAAACCUGAGGAAGCUCCAGCAGACUCUGUCAUAAGCCCUCUUCAUAUCCAGUUUUACUUCCAUAUAGCUUUGCUGCCUCGGGGCAUGUUGCAGAUCCCACACCAUCUUCUAGGCAAUCAAGAUGUUUUUGGUGAUGCUCCGACUUCCGACGAAUGCCCCAUGUUCCUGGUAGAUGAGACUAGAUAGCAGAGGUCUCAUCCUGCCCACCAUAAUCUUUGCAACUAUGUUAUAAAGAGUAGUGCAAAGGCUGAUGGGCCUAAAAUGACUAGGCUCCGCCGCAUCCAGGAGCUUCGGAAUAAAGGUGACGUAGGUUGCCUUCCAGUCAUCAGCCAUCGAUGUCGUACUGAAGAACAGCUGAACUGCCUCUACUAUUGCUCUUCGAAUGAUGCACCAAUGCCUCCUAAAAAUAAGGAAGGGAAGCUGUCCGGCCCUAGGAUUUUGGUCUCCAAGUACCCAGAUGCCCCCCCGCACGUUAGCCUCCGACACUGCCCAAAUCAGGUCCCUAUUCUCCACCGUACCAACUAUGAUGUCCAGCAAAGAAAACUGGGUGGACACCUCUGACCUACUGUCCUCCAUCCACCUGGACUUAAAGAUGUCAAACAGAACCUACCUGAUUCUUCUCUCCUCCGCCACUCUUUGCCCUACCUUUUCUCUCAAGGAUCAGAUUGUGUUCCUCUAUCUCUUGAUAAUGGUCGACCGAUGGAAGAACCGAGUGUUUCUGUCACCCUCUCUGAUCCACUAGACUCUGAACAUUUGUCUCAAGAAGACCUGCUGCCGCAAGAAGGAAUGAUGCAUAGCCAGCUUCUGACGCAGUGCAACCAUGUCGGCCUCCGGUAGCUCAUCACCACUAUCCUCCCUACCCUGAAGGUUAACAAUAGACACCUCCAUCUCCUCCAAUCGUUUGAAGAUGUUACCCACCACCUCACGGUUCAAUCUGCGCAACCUCUGCUUGGUGAGUCCCAACUUGCAAGGACCCUCUUCAUGGCCUCCCCUCACAUUGGCAUCCCCCAGGCCCCAAACAAUAUUCUAGGAUUGAGGGUAUGAGAGCCACAACUCAAAGUGGAAGGGACUACAAUGACUGGAGCUAGAACUAGUAGUGAUCAAGAGUGGACAGGAUCAAAAGUAAACUGGGGCAAAUGGCGAACCUGAUAUGUAGGAAAGCGUUGGAUCCAACAUGCUGAUGCAACAGCCCUGUCAAUCCUCUCCCACACUCUGGUGUGGCCUGAACGGUUAUUGCACUAGGUGAACCUCGGCCUAGAGAACCCGAGGUCUACCAACCCAUUCGCCAUCAAGAAGUUCUGAAACUUCCUUCUCUCCACCUUAUCAGUGUAGACCCUACCUUUUAUAUGCUCACUAGAUCCUUGAAUGCAGUUGAAGUCGCCUAUGACCAUGAUUAGGAUCCCCUGGGCAACAAGGUUGGUGACCUCACCCUGGAGGGCUCUCCUCAUCCUAUAGUCAGUACUAGCAUAUACAUCAGAUAAAAUCCAAAGAGUUUCAUUAGGUUCUGAAAUUACCAUUAUAACUUGCUUGGGGCAGUUUUGGAACACAUCUACAGUGGCAACACUCCACUUCCACAAAACAAAAAUAUCCCUCGACAGGCCCUGAGAAUCCACUACAAAGGACUCCCAAGCAGCCGAAAGACGACGCUAAGCUCGAUAGAGGCCAUCUCUAGAAAGCCAUGUCUCACACAAAAAAUAGAUAUCCGAGUAGUUCACCUGGAGCAAUCUUUUAAAUGAAGUGUUGAAGGAGGGCUUGGCCGCUCCCCUGCAGUUCCAAACAAGGAUCUUUAUUCCGCAUCGUGCUGCGAAUCCGACCCCUACUCCUUGCCGCAUAGGGCCCCAACUUUCUUCUCCCCUAAUUGGGCUGGCCCACCACCAAUGCCUUCACCCUCAGCCAAUCCGGAAUCCUCCCCCAUCACCGUCGAUCUCACCUUCCUCACCGUCAAAAGGUGAUCCACCUUUCCGGCCCGCCCGUCGCUGUCAGCCUCCUUCCCAGCCACCUCCUCACCCAGCCCGAGCACCAGGGGUCCGUGUCCAAAUUGAAACACCUUGCUUUUACAUCGGUGGAAUCGAUGCCAAAUUGAAGUUGGCUGUCAUGGCUCAUCCAUUGCUCUGUUUACUUGUCAACCUCUGGCCCAUUGGCCUCAGCUGCAUAGUUUCAGCUGGCCAGUACAAGUGACACUUAAGUACUUAACCCGAUCAGGUGGAGCCCACAAAAAACGUUGCCAUGGCUGGAUGAGGUGACAGCAACCUAGAAUAUCUGCACUCAUUUCACGGAUAGGUGAGGUUUUAGCGGAGCUACGACCACCAGAGGCUUUUUGGCCGAUCAAAUCAUUUGGGUUGUGUGCUUUUGAUCCAACUAUUUGUUUAAAGUUCACUGUUUUCGAUUCACUAACAUGCUUGAUUUAUGGUAUUCCAACCGUUUCUUUGACAAAUCUGAAAAUGAAAAGAAUGAUAUGUGACAAUUUAUGGUCAUCCUCCAGCCAAAAACAGAGGAUAUUAUUGAUACAUAUAGUCUUCUUCAAGUGGAUGGAGAUGGGAGGUUGGAAACAUGAAACAUCUUGCUUUUAUAUUGGCAUGACUAGUACCAAAUUCUAGUUGGUUGUCAUUGUUGGGAACCCGCCCAUGCCGCAAAAAAUUAAAAAACUUUUCAGAUGGCAGCGGAAGAGACAUCCUAUGAACGUUGUUGAAUAACCGUUCGUAGAUAGAUUAGAAUUAAAAACUUUUAAACUAAUUAUGAAGAUCAGAUCUUCACCUUGUGCGGAUAGAUGAUCACCGCAAACUGAAGUUUGUGGUUUAGGAUGAAGGUUCGCUAGAAGCCGUUCACGCGUCCGGCCUCUACGGGUAUCCACACGAAGCAGAGGACCGAUCAAAGUUUCCUUGUCUCCCCGGGGUGCUAGCUUCCUUGCAGAGACUACUUUAGAUGGCUGAUUUUCUUCCUUUAAAUCAACUCUUGAUUAUGCUUAGGAGGAGGAAGAAGAAGGAGGCUCUAAGGAGAAGAACCAAAGGCUACUUGCAGCCUUUUCUUUUCCCUGCGUUGGAAGAAGGAAGGGAGGGCUGCCAACACCUUUCUUUUCCUUUCCCUUGCUUGCAGNNNNNNNNNNNNNNNNNNNNNNNNNNNNNNNNNNNNNNNNNNNNNNNNNNNNNNNNNNNNNNNNNNNNNNNNNNNNNNNNNNNNNNNNNNNNNNNNNNNNNNNNNNNNNNNNNNNNNNNNNNNNNNNNNNNNNNNNNNNNNNNNNNNNNNNNNNNNNNNNNNNNNNNNNNNNNNNNNNNNNNNNNNNNNNNNNNNNNNNNNNNNNNNNNNNNNNNNNNNNNNNNNNNNNNNNNNNNNNNNNNNNNNNNNNNNNNNNNNNNNNNNNNNNNNNNNNNNNNNNNNNNNNNNNNNNNNNNNNNNNNNNNNNNNNNNNNNNNNNNNNNNNNNNNNNNNNNNNNNNNNNNNNNNNNNNNNNNNNNNNNNNNNNNNNNNNNNNNNNNNNNNNNNNNNNNNNNNNNNNNNNNNNNNNNNNNNNNNNNNNNNNNNNNNNNNNNNNNNNNNNNNNNNNNNNNNNNNNNNNNNNNNNNNNNNNNNNNNNNNNNNNNNNNNNNNNNNNNNNNNNNNNNNNNNNNNNNNNNNNNNNNNNNNNNNNNNNNNNNNNNNNNNNNNNNNNNNNNNNNNNNNNNNNNNNNNNNNNNNNNNNNNNNNNNNNNNNNNNNNNNNNNNNNNNNNNNNNNNNNNNNNNNNNNNNNNNNNNNNNNNNNNNNNNNNNNNNNNNNNNNNNNNNNNNNNNNNNNNNNNNNNNNNNNNNNNNNNNAAAACUCCUUUCAAUGGGUUGGAACAGUUCCAACUCAACUCAUCAAAGUUUAUCGAUCAUCGAGAUAUUCCCUGUGAGUCUCACCAUCCACCAGUGACACCUAGCAGCAUGUAGUGGCUAUCCAGCAGAAUGGAAUGAUGAACCUCUAGGUGCAGUUAUCAUGUGAUACAGUCCUACUAUCGUGGAUCCCUUCAGGACGGAGGUCAUGGACAACUCGUCAAACCCCAUUGUCUGUCAUAUGUCAAGAUUUAUUAGACUUAAGUUCGAGAGUGGAAAACUCUUUCUCCACUGUUUUUACUGCCUCGACCGAGGCCUUACGAACUCAGUCUUAUAAAUCACAUAGGAUCUCUCCCUAUCUAUCAAGGUCGAUAGAUUCCUUAUAGGUGCAUACCCUACUCUUACAGUGAACCUACUGCAGCCAAUCUACACUGCAUGGACCCAUAUGGCUAGAGACCAUGUAUGUGUGCAGUCAAACUACAAUAACCUCACUGUGAGCAGCCGAAGCAUCGCAGGUCAAAGGACCAGUUACACUACUGCAACAUCAAGCAAGUCACUGACGAGUGGAUAGACAUCCAAGUGACUUCUUGUCUUGGUCACGCUCAGUACCCUUGUUCUCUAACAAGCACUUGCACAAUUGCUCCAGUGUCCCUAUACUGUGGACUCAAGACUCGUCCAUCAAAGAAAGCAAUAUGUGCACUAAUCUCAGCGGAUCAAUCACCGUUCUCUCCCUAUCCAUCAAUCAGGAGCAAUUCAGGAAUUAAUCACCAAUGACACAUGCCUCAAAUUUUCAACUCUUGAGAAUAUGCGUCAUCAUCUUAUUAGUUCCUUGGACGAUUCAUGGACACAUAAGAACAUGAAUGAAAAGAAUGCCCAACUUAAUUAGGUCAAGUACAAAUUUAUGUUCCAGAAUAAAAUAAUGCGUCAGCUAAAUUGGCUUCUAGGGCAUACUUCUAACAGUCAUAUCUCAUUUAUUGCUCUGUUAAAUUAUCAGGCUCUGGCCAACUAGCCAGGGCUACUAUCACGCUCCGAUAUUAGAGCAUAACAAAUACCAUGUAUCUAUACAGUGGAUCAUACAAAUAUGCAGGACUAUAUAUUAUAUCAGCCAAUGAUUAACCGAGUAGCACUUGCUAUAAUUCUGCUUACUAUAAUUGAUCAAUUAACUGUUUCAAAAAAUGACAAUCAAUAUAAAUCGGUGACCAUAGUGAUCGAUUAAGUUAUGAUAAUCUAAAGUUGUGACUGGUGAAUAUUUUUAUUAAAAAUACGGUUGAAAUUCCACUCGAUAGACUAAGAGACAUGGCAUGAUUGAUCGGUUAAAGAUGACUAUAAGAUAACUGUGUUGAUUGAAAAUAUGAUGAUAUGAAAUUUUAGUAUAUUCAUUUCUUCGUCUAGUUGUCAUAACUUGCUUCACAACUUAACAAAAAGUCAUAUUUUCAUUUAGCUGCAGGGGGCAUACGUUACCACCUAUAUAUUAAGUAAUAUUAACUGAUUAGUCAAAAGCUAAUCGGUUCUUCUGUCUGAUAGAUUUUUAACCUGUGCAUUAGUUAAAUAUCUGAUAAAAUUUUGACUUUUAUCCUAAUUAUCUAUUUGGAUGACUUGGAAGUUACACAUGAUUUUUCUGAAAGCAGACGAGAAAUGUCAUUCAUGAAGGGACAGCUAGAAGCGGUUUAUCAAUGAGGAAACCUAUUAUUUCAAGAAACAAUUAUCUAAAAGGUAGUUGUAGCUGGAAAUAACUACUUAGUGGCGGUCAUUCAGGUUAAAAAAAAGUCCAGAUUCCUUUAUAAAUACAGAGAAAGUGAUAAGAUUGAAGGACAUCAUCAGAACUCGACAUUCUACUCCAUAACAGCGUUAGUUUUCUACAUCAAAUGAGCUUCGACGCCUUCUUUACCUUGAAACUCUUAUACUUUCUUUAUUAGCUUUCAAGAUUUACACUUUAACUGCUGCUGCUUCUCUUUUAUUAUUUCUUUAGACACUUCUAUGCCAUUUUAGAUGGAAGCUUUUAAUUCUUCAAUGAAUAUUUCCGUGAUUCUCAAUUAUAUAUCUUUCAAUCAUUUUGAAUCACGCCUUUAUUAUGAUGGAGAUUUCACGCAAUGACAACAAUAUAUCAUGAUCAAAAUAUUCUUACAAAGACUUAAGAAUCAGAUUGAGACUACUAUUAUGAAUGUAAUUUCUGGUCAAAUAAUGAAGUUGAAAUCCUCAGAAAUGAGGUAAAUCAAACAACCACUACAAAAUAAAUAGUUUUUCCUUGCACUUUUUAGAGCCUGUAUCGACGCUUAGGAAAACAAGAUGUCACAAUGAUCUACUUAUAUUAACUUGAUCGUUAGUGAGUUAUCCGAUGCCAUGAGUCAAGAACAAAGAUGCAAUUAAAGACCUAUUACUACAUUAGAAAGCAAAACAAAAAUAAACAUUCAACAGAGAAUGGUGCUCAGUUGGUCCACAGUUUCAUGAGGGCACUGGAAUGAGUACUCGUGUAUAUUCCCUUUCUUAAAAAAAUCUACCACUUCUUAUUUAACAAAAAAAUUUUAUUCUAUCACUUCUUUGUUUAACAGGAAAACAAUAGAUUGUCAAAAGAAAGUAAUGCAUAUUGAUAGUAUUUACUUUACAAAAAUAAAACCAGUUACUUAGAUAAAAUAGAUGGUUUCAAUAUUUGGCUUUAUUCUUCACAGUUCUUUUAUAAGCGAGACAAUUUUAUGUCUAAGUUUCUUUUUAUAUUCUUUUAAAAAAAAUUUCUGUGACAUGACUCUAUCUUGAUAUAUUUUUACCCCUAGUAUAUUGAUAUGGAAUUAGGUAUUUUCGUAGAGCAUUGCUCCAUGUAAUUUAAACUUUAGAAUCCUUGGGAGAUAUUUGUUUCUUUAGAAUCCUUUGUAGUUUACUGGUAGGCCAUUUUCUAACUUCUAGGGAAAUUUUAAGGACAACAGUUUCAAUCCUAUAUAUAUAUAUAUAUAUAUAUAUAUANNNNNNNNNNNNNNNNNNNNNNNNNNNNNNNNNNNNNNNNNNNNNNNNNNGGACUAUUAUUGUACUAAAUAAAAGAAAUUUAAUCUUUAAAUUUAUUGGCUAUAUAUGGAAGUUUGCCGCAGUCACAAGUUGGAUUCAAUAGAAAAUCAGAUUAAAUUAACCACAGCGAUUAUCUCAUUACCAAAAGUUGUCCAACAAGUAUUAAUAUAUCUAACAAAAUCAAAUUGGCGACAGCAUACCUAACUUGUGGGGCACACUGACCCUACGUAAUAUUCUUUCAUCAUCAGUACCAAUUAGACCUCUAAAGAAUGGAUUCUCUUAUUUUCUCCCUUAUGCUUUUCUCGCUUCAUUUUUUUUUUUACCUAAGGUUAUGAUUAUUACAAGACUUUUCAUUUUUCUAAUGCCAACAUCAGAAAAAAAGAUUCCUUACUAGUUAAUUUUUUUGUUCUUCGUUUCGUAAACGAUUAAACUAUGACAAAAAGGUCCGGAUGAAUGCCGACAAAAUGAUUUGCAACCCCAGCCAUACGCCAAUGCAUUUAAGCGGAAAGUCGUUUUCGGCCUACUUCCAUGCAGCUAGCGAUGUGGUUUAGAAAUAUGACGCAUUGGAAGAGAACUUCCACUGGUUAGCCUGCGUUAAAGCUUCUCAUCACCCCUCAGUACCCCGCCUAUAUAUGCACACACCUCUUAUCUCCUCCUUUCUAUGCUCAAAGAAGUUUGUCAAAGAAACCAAGUCUCUCUCUCUCUCGCACACACACACGCGCGCGCGCGCGCACACACACACAGGCCAUGGAAAUAUCUGAUGUUCCAGAUCUGACACAAGAAGAUCAUGAAAAAUUUCUUCAGAAGCUGCGAGAAAGGAACACAAGGUAGCAAGCAAACCACGGCUUAUAAUAGGGAAGAUGCAUGAAAGAGGGAGGAGACGAUAGAUGACAUGCUGUGAGUUUUCUAGGUGUUUUAUAUGUGUGCAUAUGCUUUGAUGUGAUGUUAGGUUGGGAAGUGAUGCUCCAAAGUUUGAAGUCCGGUUCGAGGAUUUGUCUGUGGAGGCUGAAGUUGAUGUUGGGAGAAGAGUUCUUCCAACCCUUGUCAAUACUACCAUCGACGUAGCCCAGGUAUGCAUGGUCGUUUUGGCUCCCAUCUUUAACUCUCCACGCAGUCACUGUGUCACACCUUUAUUGCAGCACAUGAUGGAUCACCCGCCGUUUGAUCACGAAUAGAGAUGUGUGAGAUGUGUUUCUUCGGUGCAUGUAACCCUGUGAGGCACAUGCUAGCUUGCAUCGAUGCAUUGCUCGUGAUCAGAGUGGUCUGAUGAGCGUCUAACCGGAUGCAUGCAUGAUCCCAAGAUUACCUUCUAAUCUUAUUAUUUUUCUUAACUUCAUAUUUGUGGACAGAUCCUUUGUAAUUAAUGGAUGUUAGAUUUCAACUUUAAUGAUAUCAAAAAAUGCUUAUGUAACAUAUAUAAAAAUAUCACUGAAAAAAAUCACUCCGUGUGUCGUAUUCUCGUUGCUCCCUUUGAAUUGAAACCAUAAAGUGUGUCAUUUAACGAAGAAAAGUGAUUAGUGCAAGACACUUAAUUUGAGUGCUCUAUUCCUCACCCUAAAGUGGACCAUUUGAUCACCCUGUGCAAUUUUAUCCAUGCAUCUUGCCUCAAGAUUCGUUAAUAUGUGGCUAAAUGGAGAGCAAUGAUGCAUCCUUCACAUCCCAAGAGAUACUAUUCAGCUGAAUCCUUGGAUUUUGUUAUUAAGUGCCAAAGAUGUACUGUAUUCGUUAAUCAUAGAAAGUUAAUUCAACUUCAGUUUUGUUGACUUGCUUUGCUCAGUACCCCACACACACAAAAAAAAAAACAGGAGAUUUGUUAUCCCUCUUUGCUCAAUUACUUAUUUUCUAUAAAUCAUUUCACUUCUCCUAGUAUUUCUGUGGCCGGGUCUUUUUCUUGUCAGUCAAUUAAUAUAUGGUCUUAUAUGCAAAAAAAAAAAUCAGUUUAAUAUUUUUUUUUAAAAAAAAAUUUGGAGGUCCCCAUCCUUUUGAAAUCAUCGAAUAUCUUAUUUGUCAUAUAUUUUCUAUUCUUUUUACUUUCUUUCAUUUGAAAUAUUAUAGUAGGAAGUAGAUUCCUGCCAACUUGGCUAACAAAGAAAAAACCUAACCCAAGAAUUACUAGGAAACAAGAAUGAACUGUAGAAAAUAAAUAAAGGCCCGCAUGGUUUCUUUCUUAGGGUAGUAAUUGUAUCACUCCUCGGCUCUUCAAAUUAAUUAUUGACAUUGUCAUGCCAAAAUAAUUAAAAAAUUGCACUCGUUAAUGGCACCGGAUUUCAUGUUGUUAUGAUGCAAUCACAAUAAUCAUCUGAAUAUGCUCUCUCUUUAACACACGUAUUUUUAAUGAUAUCUAUUACUUUUCCCACCAUCGAUUUUUCCAUGAUCACUAUGAAGGUUCUAUCAAUAGUCGAACUUUUGUGACCACAUCUUCCAUGUACUGUUGAAAUUGUUCAUCAGUAAUAAUUAGCCGUGGGUGCAUGGUAUUAAUUAUCAUCAAUGUGGGGUGGGUUCUUUGAAUUAUUUUCCAUCAAACCAGCCAUUAUUGAUUUCUUUAUCUUCAUUGAAGCUCGUGUUUUAUAUUUUUUCAUGACACAAUUAAUUAGGCAAUAGGCAAUAGUCACUGUCACCAUCUUUUUCAUAAUAAUGGAGAUUUCUAUUAUUGACCGAAUCUGAUACUAGAUUUGUACGGCCAUAAGUUGCAAUAUUUGAUACUGAUUAUUAUAAAUUUCUUUUUGAGAUCUCUAAACAACUCAAUUGUAGAUUCUCGUAGCUUCGUGAGUGGCGGAUCAAUCGAAUCAAAUUAAACCUCCAUCUGGUUAUUAAAUUACCAUUGGGAUCAAUUCCUUGAAGAUUGGAUUUAGACAUGCAUAGGAUUGGCACUUCAUAAUUCCUUGAAGUAAUUAUGAUUCUUUAAAUCCCAAACUCAUAAAAUUUACAUAUUUAUAGACUACUACUUUGCUAACAAGAAAAAAAAAAGCAAUUUAAAAUUACUAAAAAAAAUAAAAUCAUAUGAUUGGAUCGAGUGGCUUUGUCCCGUUCAUGAUAAAAUAUCAAGCAUAAACCUAGCCCUGCGGAGAUAAGCUUGACACAUCAGCAUAAGAUACCUAAUGCGCCGACAUAGUCGAGGCAUUAUGUUUUUUAACAUGAUUAAUCUUAACCUAGGUAAUGGCUCAAAUGCCCUUCACAUUUUAGAGUAGGUGAUAUUGUUGCCUGUCACCCUCCAUAGGUGAAGUGGGUAUCUAAACAAACACCAAACCCUUGGAUGUGCUGAUGGGUGCAGCCAAUUCCAGCCGGUUGCUUGACAUGGUGUUUUCAAGUCAGACAGGCCAAGAGUUGAAACCGAGCCAAAGUAUUGGUAAACAAUGACUAAUACAAUAAUAUAGCUCUAAAGAGAAUUGUGCUUGUUGUUCCUCGGUAACACCUUUACCUUCUUCUUUGUUGACGAAAUGGGUGAGAGACCAUAAAAAUGGCUAAUUAGCUUGUAGAAAUUUAAGUAGGUAGUAUCCAAUCUCAUACCCAGUAUAACAUGGCACCUAUCUGCAUCAUGAGGCAAUCAGCUCUGAUAGGAACUAAAAUGGUGUCAAAGGCCCCAUCCAUAAAUGUUCACUUCCCACUAAAACAUAUUGUGUGCACUUGUUCUUCUACUGCUACUAACACUGCAGUAGAAGUUUUGGAUCUGCAGCUGAUAUAUAUGUAAUAAUAUGCAGAACAAUUAGAAGAAUGACUCUUCUUCUUCUAAUGUUGUAGUAUAAGUUUUGAAUGGGUAAUCAACAGAAGUCUUAUAAUAUGAAGAGCCAAUUGCUUGAGUUGGUAAAGUCAUUGUAUGUUGGCUUGGGUACUGAUUUCGGCAGGGUUACUUCUCAUCAUAGUACUUAAGAAUAACUCGAUCCAAUAUUUCUCAUAAGCAAGAUAGGCUACCACUCUGGAAUCAUGAAUGGAUAACGUAGUGUAUCCCAAGUGUUCACGGAAAAGAAAGAAAAAAGAAUAAGCUACAUCGAAUUCGAGUUUCUAAGCAAUGGUUUAUCAAUGAUUAAUCAAAAGAAUUGUUUUAUUUUAUAGCUGGGGUUUGUCAGGUUUAUUUAGACAUCUCAAAUUUUGAUCUCUUUGUUAGUAGUCAAUUUGGGUUUCGCACCGAACAUAUUUUAUUGGGGACUUUUAUGCCUUAAUUUAAAAUAGUAGAAUUGUGCAUGUGUACAAGUUUACAGAUGUACGUGCGAGUGUACGUAUGCCUUGAUUUGUAUUUUAAUAACAACUGAGUUUUAACAUUUUGGGCAGGAGCUAAUGGGAUUGCUAAAGUUAUAUCCCACGAAGAAGAAACCUGUUAAAAUCCUUCAUGGCCUAACAGGGUUAAUAAAGCCUAAGAGGUAAGCUUUCUGUCUUCACCUAAAUCCUCAUAUAUUAUUGAAUUGUUUGCGUGUAUGUUAAAUAUAAUUAUUUAUUCUCUUGGUAAGGUUGGCAAAAGGUUGAUCCGUGCUUGAUUUAGCUUCUCUGAUCUCGACGUAAUUGCUUUUAAAAUAAUUCAAACACUGAUAAAGGGCCUAGGUAGAGAUAAAUCCAUUCACUCAUCCUUGUAUUCUAUAUUAUAGUUUGAAGAAAGGCAAGUAGUUAUACCUUAAUACCGAAGUAUUUUUAAAGAAAAUUACAGAGUUCAUUUUAUUUAUGUCACAAGAAAACUCGAAUCUUUCACUAUUUUAUGCACAUAUACUGGGGCAUCAUCGGGUCCUCACCCAUGAUACAAUAAAUAAACUGGACUCCUAAAUACUUAUCUUCAUAUGGGUUGGGUCUUUCCUCUCAAAGUGCCCGGUGACUUUUCGCAUAACUACUCCAAUGUCUUGGAAAGCUAGAUGCGGUCAUAUCGGUCAAAUAGGCUACAUCAUAAUAACAAUGUUAGUCCUUGUUCAAGAAAAGAUAAAUAUUAUUUUUUUUAUGAUAGUUAUAACAAUAACCCUAUUUUUCAUAAUUCAGAAGGAUUACUAGAUUCGAUAUAGACACUCUGGCCGCUACAAUUAGGUGACGCAACAAGAAAGAAAAAAAAAGACAAUUUGAUCGAUGAGGUUUUGUACUUCUCGAAGAUUAGUAUGCCAAAAAAAAGUAAAUUGAAUUGGAGAAUCCAAAAAUCUCUAUGUACAAUUUCCUCCUAUAGUCAUUCCCAUAGUCAUCACAAAUAGGAGAGGCUUCAUGACUUGCACGUUCCUCUUCCACAUCUUCAACAAUUAAUAAUUGCUUCCUUUCUUCCCCCUUUGUCUUCUUGCAAUCUGUAGAUAGGGUCUAGUUUUCCACACUAGAAGUAUCAUAUCCAACCUUAGACUUUUUCUCUUGUGUAGUGCAGUAGUCUUUUUCUCUUUCUGUAUCUAUUUUUCUAAUUUUUGAGAGUACUCUGACUCUAUUUUUUUCUUUUCUAUUUUUUAUUACACUUUGUUUUUUGUUACUUUUGUAAGAGCCUGGAAUUUUAAGGUAAGUUUCCCAAGGGAUGAUGGCAAAGUUUUUCAAAGGAAAGCACAAAGAGCUUGAAGGGCAGGGCUGGCCUGGGGCCUUAGGCGACCGCCUCAGUCGCCUAAGGCCCCGGGCCAUUGGAAGGCCCACGGAAGGCUGACCAAAAGGAAGCAAAGGCCCCGGGCCAUUGGAAGGCCCACGGGAGGCUGACCAAAAGGAAGCAAAGGCCCCAUACAAAACGGGAUCAGUAGCUGGCUACGAGUGGCUGACCAAAAGGAAGCAAAGGCCCCAUACAAAACGGGAUCAAUAGCUGGCUACGAGGCUUCCCCCUUGAUGGAAGGGAGGUGGAGAGUUUUCUGGCCUGCAGAGGGGCAACUUGGGAUGUUGGGGACAGUAGUUUUGUUUUGGGUGGUGAGAGAGAGAGAGAAGAGGAAUUUGGUUGGCUUGAUAGACGCCUGAAGCCACUCUUAUCUUUCAUCCCUUCUCUUUUUUGGUUUUGGUCUUGGUUUUCCUUCCCUAACACUACUCCUGAUCCAGCUGGGCCAUCCGGAAGGACGAUAGGGGGAUUGGAGAUGGACUUCUUGGAGGGUGGAGAUUCUUUUAGUUUUCUCCUCUCGGUUUCUUCUCCCCUCUUGGGUGGUAGAGAGAGAAAAGGAGGGAGGGGGUUGAAUGGCUGCUGUGCUGUGAUGUUACAGUUGCUGCUUGGGUACUCACUUGAAGGAGAGAUGGUGGGACGGGACUUUUAUUAAUUAGAUGGAGUGAAUUUUCCAUAAUGACCCUACUUUUUCUUAUAGAGAGGUUUCNNNNNNNNNNNNNNNNNNNNUGGUAGAGAGAGAAAAGGAGGAGGGGGUUGAAUGGCUGCUGUGCUGUGAUGUUACAGUUGCUGCUUGGGUACUCACUUGAAGGAGAGAUGGUGGGACGGGACUUUUAUUAAUUAGAUGGAGUGAAUUUUCCAUAAUGACCCUACUUUUUCUUAUAGAGAGGUUUCUUUAUGGACAAAUUCUUUUCUUUACCUUGACCAUGAAGUGCCAUGGGAAGACCUUUUCCUAUUCGGCUCUUGCUUGACAUGGUAAACAGUAUUGCCAAGCAUUAUCUCAGUUUUUUAAUCAGUUUCAUGGCCCUUCAUUUAGAGUAAUUACUUUUAUGUGCUUCCAUUCAAGAAUUAUAUUAAAUUAAAAAAACUUCUUGUCUAUCUUUGUUAGAUUCAUGUAUCUUUGUUGAAAUAGUGUACUUGAUAGCUACCUAUUUUCAUAUAUUUUAUAAGUAUUUUAUAUUUAUUAAAAAAAUAUUAUUAAAAAAAAAAGGCCUCGUUCAUUGGAUUCGCCUUAGGCCCCAGAAUGUAUUGAGCCGCCCCCGACCAUUGGCAUCGGAUUAGCCAGAAGAUCAUGAUUAAAGAGAGGAUAAAGAGUAGCGUAGGUCUAGGAGCUUUGACCUUCGAGGACUUAUAUCACCAUCAAAGCAUCUUUUGAAAUAGAUAAAUCUAGACAAGGAUAGGGGUGUAGCAUUUGGCGGUAGUAGAAAUUAUAAGUUAUAGCUACUCUUAGGGUAAAAACUACUGGUAGAUUAAGAAGUAAGAUAAAAUAAAAUGCAUAGAUUUGGAUUAUUAUUGAAGGAUUUUUAUAAGGUACAUUUUCAUAUAUUUAUACUAACAAAUAAUAAGUACCUACUCUAAUGGUUGCCACCAUGUCUAGCCUCCACUCCUAGCAAUUUUGAUAACUAAUGUCAAUUAUCCUCCACUAUGCAUGUUUAUUGGCAUAGUUGCCUUGCACCAAUUGUUAGGCCAAUAAUCAUAUAUUUUCAGCCUUGAUCUAUUUAGAAGCCUUACAUUGGCCAUCUUUCUUUACUCCAACCUACAAUAUAGUCUUCUAUACUUGCAAAAUAUCUUGGAGACCAAUUCAAUCACUUCAACCUAUACCUGCCAACCAUCCGACUUCAUACAUUUUUUUUCUGUGGUUAGCCUGUCGACCUGCUUAACAACACUGCUAAAUUCUACCUCUUUGGUCCAUACCACUGCAAGUAAGAUUUCUCAUAGUAGGACCAUAUUCAACCUAGCAAGGGUCACGUAAUUCCCAUUUGUCUUUACUUCAUCAAACCUUAGCCAUAUGGCGCUUACUCAUGGCCCUCUACUAAAUUUGGAUAGGGUGUAAACACUUUGUUUUUUCUCCUAUCACUUGGUCUCUUGCGGACAAACUAUGUCAAGUCUCUUUCUAGCCAUUGUAUCUAUCAGUUCAAUCAUUAUGUCUGUCAACCAUCAUAUUUUCCAAGUUGCUAAAUGUGUCCGACUUUUCUAGACUAACUUUUUUACCCACACCCAUUCAUUGAAGUAUGCAAAUCCUUACCCACUUUUGACAACAUUCAAGUUUUGAUAUGGUGCAUUUUUUUUGAGGAGUGCCAUAUUUAACCAUCUCCCACUUUUUGCUACACCUGAUAUCUAUGCAGUACAUUACUAGUAGGGAAUACCCCAACAGUUUUCUUAGGAUUCAUACUUAUUAAGAUGUGACUAUGUUUUCAUAUUGACUGUCAACCUGCUACAAUUCACCUCCUUUAUCCAAGGUUGAGACCAGUUAUUAACAAAAUAAAGUCCUUACAUACAAGGUUUAUAAUUCUAGUUUCAUUUACAAUAUUUGAAUUUCUCUUAGCUUAUCUUUUCACAAUGUGAAUAAAUCAAACUAAUUUCUCUAUUUUAAUAAAUUUAUGUUAGGAUGACUCUUAUCCUUGGAUCUCCCGGAUCGGGAAAGUCGACAUUCUUGAAAGCUUUGUCUGGAAAAUUAGAUUCCAAAUUAAAGGUAAAUGCUUACAAAGGCCUCUUAAGAAUGGAAGAACGCAAGUGCAUUAGCCUACGGUAUAUUGUUUACCUUUUGUUAUGUUUAUUGGCUAGUAUUUAUUAAUUUUACUUGAUCUAGGUCACUGGAAGAGUCACAUAUAAUGGACAAAUAAUGAAUCGUUACAUUUCUCCAAGAAUGUGCACAUAUAUUGGCCAAUAUGAUCUCCACCAUGCUGAGAUGACUGCAAGGGAAACGUUGGAGUUUUCUAAAGAAAUGAUGAGUGCUGAAGAUGCAUUUGGUGAGAGAAUCUGGUUCUUAUUCUUGUCAUACCCAUUAUUAUAUAAUUACAAAUUUUUAAAAAUACUAUCCUUUUUAUUCUUUAACGAACACAAGUUUAAUAAGACUUCAAAGCAAACAAUAAUUUUUGGAGGAAAUAAUAAUAAUCCGUACUAUUUUAAUGAUAGAAGGCAUUGUAGCUAGACUGAGCUGUUACUAAACUUCUUUGUGUACGUAGCUGCAUCUUACAAAUUAAUUUUUAUUUUAAUUACACCGUUUUGAAAGUCUAAAUGCUAGAAAACCACCAGAAGAUUGCACCGUGCUGUUUUCUCGAGCAGCAAAGACUCAAGUGAUCCAUGUAUUUAAUAUCUGUGAUCUCACAAAUAUGUUGUUUUUCUUUCUGAAAGAACCCUAUCGAAACUCUCUUAAAUCCCGCACUCUCUCGAAGGUACCCUCAUCAUAAUAUUGAAAAAAUCUCCAGCAAAUCAAAUUUCUCUCUCAAAUAAUCUUUCUUUCUGGCUCUCCUUUCUCCUUUGGUAGAGAGAGAGAUUUGGCUAAACUCGAGUGCAUCUCCAAAUAAAUAUGGUCAAGUCUAGAUGAUCCAAGCCAUUGAAUACAAUCUACUACCUCUAAAUUAUUUACACACUAAUACUCAUAUAACUUGGAGACCCCUAGUUGUAUAUCAAGUAGACGAGAAAAUAUAUAUUAUUUCAUAUUAUUUAAACUAUUCAAUAUUUUAACAACUUGAUGCAUGAGCUAUGAAUUUCUAAAUCACAUGAUUUUUACCGUGCAAAUAGUUUAGAAAUAGUAGAUCAUAUCCAUAUGCAUGGAUCAUCAAUAUGAGAUGCCCAUUGUUCCAUCUACACCAAAUCAAUUUUGACUAGAGAUCUAAUUGAAUGUAGCCAAGUCCAUCUCUCAAGCGUAGAUAUGUAACAAAUAAAGAAAAAUCUAAUAAAAUAUUUUCAUUUCCGUAAAAUCAUGCCAAAAAAAAUAUAUCUCUUUUUUUAUUCUUUGAUUACUGUAACAAAUAAACUAUAGAAAGUAAAAUCAUCGUAAAAUGAAUAACAAAAUAUCAUCAUAAAAAUCUUAUGAGUGAAAAUAAAUUAAAAGGUAGAAAUACCAACUACAUAUAAAUAAGGAAGUAAUAAAUUACUGUAUUUGUUAGAGUAGAUAAAUAUGAAAAAUUACAAAAAGUCUAUAAAUGAAUAAGAAAAUCAUUAUUUUAAUACAUUUUUUAUCAUUUAUAUAACUAUAAUUUAAAAUUUUCUAUUAUUUUCCUCAAACAUGGAUUGCAAGUUCUUAGGUGCUUUAUACGUUAAGUUCAAUCUCAAUUGUUUUCAUUUUCAAAGAAUCGUCCGAAAAGGUGCCUAAAAGAGACAUGGAAUCAAGCACAAAUGAAGAUAGAGAAACAAAUGCUGUUGCGAAGGUAUUUAUUUCUUUUGUUAAAAAUUUAGCUUUAUUUUCUUGAAAGUUUCAUAACUUGAACAUUUUUUUGCCUUCUGAAUAUGUAGGAGCCAAGUUCUGCAAAGGAAGAGGAAGAAGACUUUUUAAUCAGCUACAUUCUAAAGGUACAUAUGAUCCCUUUAAUCAAAAGUUGUGGUAGAAUAUGGUUACUACAAGUCAGUUAUGGCCUCCAAAACAAUAUCAUAUACUUAUGAUACGCAAACCAAUAAGAUUUCAAACAAGAUGGCCGGACCCCUUUUUUGUUAAAAUAGAAAAGAAGGUAUGACUUCAAAAUUGUAAGCAACUGAGUCGUCUCUUUUGUCGCCCGGCACUCCGGAAAUUUUCUUUGAACGUCUGCAUCGGACGUUCCUCUUCAUUUGUAUUCCUUACUUUUCCGUGAUCCAGCAGGAUAUACUCAUGUUAGAGUUAUAUAAAAUGAGUAGCCGUUUUCACUAUAAAAAAAAAAAUUGUAAGCAACUUAGUGCCCAAUAAAAAUGGCAGGUUGCAACGGUAAUAAGCAAUUCCAAUAUGUUUGAUCAAAAAAGUAGGGAAAACAAGGAAAUUUGUAACGCUAGAGAAAAAUCUUUGCAGUUUGUAUUUUUGUCACCUAUUUUUGUAACCUAAAAUAAUUUAAAUGUUAAUAUUCUGGAAAGAACCCUAAUUGAAAUGGUAAUGAAUCCAUUGCUGAUGCUGUAGCGAAAUGCUUCAUCAUGCUUGACAUAAUUUGGUUAAUCAACUUGUGCCUGAUAAUGAUGUCAAGAUUCUUUUUCUACAAUUUGCAGAUGAUACUUUGUUGUUUCUUAAGAAUGAUAUCAACCAGAUCUAUCUAUUUGAAGUAGUCCCUGGUCUGCAAAUCUCUCCAUAAAUGAACUUAUUCAUUUUGGUGAAAACAAUAACUCUGAUAAUUGGCUUGCUAAUGUAAUAAAUUGCAAGAGCUCUUCUUUUCCAACUUAAUAUCCGGGUCUUUCUUAGAGGCCAUAUGGACUAAUUGAGAGAGGUGAUUGGUUACCAGGCAUGAUAAAAAUUAAAAGAGGUUAUAGCAGGUUGGUCUUUUAAAGUCGUGUCAAUAUGGGUGACCUACUUUGGUAUAGUCAGUUCUUUCUAAUCUUCCUAUCUACCAUCUAUCUAUUUUUCGGGCUCUUAACUAGAUUAUAAAUAGAAUUGAUUGAAUCAGAAAAAUUUCUUUUUCUAGAAAGGUGUCAGCUAUGAGAAAAGUGGGUUUUGUUUGGCAAAGUGGAAAUCAGUGUGCAAAGAAAAAGUUCAGGGUUGCCUUGGAGGAAAAAUUUUCAAAAAUUUUAAUGUAGUCUUUGUUUCUAAGUAGUAGUUUUUGAAUACUGAUGCUCAUAUUUAGAACACAUUGGUUUAUUUUAAUUAUGAUAGGAGAAGUAUUUCGAGCUCAGGACCAACUUUUCUAUGGCUUCUAAAUUUUGAAAAGGCAUUCCUAAGGCUUGGGACUAUUUUUAUCAUGGUACUCCUUUUUGGUUGAUAAUGAUUGCUCUAUAAGUUUUUGGCAUGUUAGGUGGUUAACUGAGCAUCCAUUAAGGGAUUUAUUUCCGAAUCUUUAUUUCCGACCCGAAAUAACAAGUUGGAGACAUGGCAAUAGUUGCACACUCGUCGGGCAUUACCCUGCAAGCAUGCGAGGGAUCCAUCACGAUAUCUUAAUAGAAUAAAGCCAUGGAAUAAAAUUAGAGCAACUAAAAUCCAAAUUUAUUAAUUAAAAAUCCCAAAACAAACAAGAAACUUCAAGAAUUUUAUUCACAAUAAUCUAACAUCAACUAUUGUCCAAAUGUCAAAUAAAAGAAAGAAACCUAUAAAGAUGCUUCCAAUAUUUAUACUAAAAAGAUAAAUACUAAUUAUACACUAUCCAAGCAUUCUACUCAUGCAUCUAGUUACACUCUCAUUUCGUACCUCUUCAACAACUAGAUCUCUGGAUUUGUAAAAAAAGAAAAGAACAAAUAAUGAGCUCAAUAGCCUACUAGAUGAAUACCUCAAUUAGAUAAUUUAAGUAAUAUAUUAAAUAGAUUUUCUUGCUAAUACUAAGUAUAUAAAUAAAAUUAUUGUAUGUAAUAAAAUAAUUUCAUAAUCAAGAAUUCUUAUGUCUGUUCAAGUAAUUAUAUUCAUAUUCAUAAGAAUAAGAAAAAAAUUCGAAAUAUCGUAAUUCAACUUAUAUCCUAUGGAGUUAGACAUAAUACUAUACUUAUACCAUAUAGAGUAGGUUAGAAAACUAUACUUAUACCUACAGAGUGGGAUAGGAUAUGUCGUACUUAUGCUUUGAGGAGUGUGUCAGAAUACCACAUUUAUACUAUGUAGCAAGGCUACAAUANNNNNNNNNNNNNNNNNNNNNNNNNNNNNNNNNNNNNNNNNNNNNNNNNNNNNNNNNNNNNNNNNNNNNNNNNNNNNNNNNNNNNNNNNNNNNNNNNNNNNNNNNNNNNNNNNNNNNNNNNNNNNNNNNNNNNNNNNNNNNNNNNNNNNAUAAUUUUAAGCAAUACGCACAUUCAACAAAAGACUUCUAAACAUAUAUGCAUAAUAUUUGGUAAGAAAAUAACAUAUUCAAUUUAUUUUCCUUUUAAAACAAAAGUUCAUAAAAUUCAUUAUUUGCAUGUUAAUCAAUUUAUUAUUUAUUUGAUAUCAAUAUUUACUCAAAGUAAAUAAUUGAAAAAUCUAGAAAAUAUGUAUCAUUAUUUACCUUAUGAGCAUACUUAGCAAAUAAAUCCAAUAAUUCCAAAAAUUUUCUUUAGAACCUAAUUUCCAAAGUUAUAUUUAUCAAAAUAUGGCCAUGAAAAAUUCUAAAGUACAAUUCCAAGUACUCAAUACCACUACAUAGUAUCAAAACUAACAAUUAGAGAAAAUUGCAAAGAGAAUAAGGUAGCUGUGGAGAAAUAUGAGGAAGAGGUGGAGAAAGAACAAGACUGGCUGGUGUGGUGCCCAACAACUUGGAUCAACUUGGAUCAAUCUAAUCUAGUUAAUUCAACCAAUCACUUUGGAAAAUGUGAGUUCAAGUAGUCCAAAAAUAUCGUGACAAAAGUUAUUAAUGGCGAGAUCUAGUGAUGCCAGCCGAUAUGUCGAUCCACAUGGAUCAAUCAAGGGGCAAAGAGAGGGAGAAAGGGAGAGAAAAGGCAUGCUCUACUAACAUCCACGGAGAAUACAUGAAGAGAAAGAGAGAGAGAGAGAGAGAAAGAGAGGGAAAAAGAGUGCACGAGAAAUAGAGAGGGGUCUUGUCAUGGCCUCUUUUAGGAAAGAGCAUGAAAAAAAUGAGGGUGAUGGUCCCAUAGUAGCGCCAGUGGAUGACUAUCAAAAGACCAGCAAUAGGCACCAACAGACGACAAUGGUGACUAGAACAAGAGGAGAAGAAGAAGAAGAAUAAAAAAGAGGAAAAUAGAGGCCGAAAUAGGGGUCCUGGCUUGGCAUCAGGACGAGCCUCGGCAUUGACCGGCAUCAAUGGCUUUGGCAUCUAAGCACAAGGCCAUUGAGAAGGCUAGACCAAGGGAGAAGAGGGAGAUAUCUUCGAGUUGAAAUAGGGGAAAGAUCACUAAAAUAGGAGAUAAGCAUGGGAGGUGAAUCCAUUAGUUUCUCAACAGAUACUCAAUCGAUGGUGAUGGCAUAAUGACAAGCAGGAAGGAGGAGAGUUGGAGAGGUGGAGAUAGUGGUAUAUCUCAUCUCCAAUGAGCAGGCCAUUGUAAGGGUGAGGAAAAAGGUGGCAAUGCAAGAAAAGAAAUCAGCGAAGAGAGAGAAGAGAGAGGGAGUGCUCAAUGGAGAUUCAUGGGGAGGGGUUUAGGGGUUUAAAUAGCCACAAAGGCUAAGGUUUCCUAGCCUCCAGUAAAGUUUGGGGUGGAGUUGGGAGUCGGUCUCCUCCAACUCUAACAAGGCUCCAACCUUGUGGUUGGGCUACUUGAUGCCUUUCAGGUUGGCAUGACUUUACAGGCUGGGCCUCACAAUUGUUCUUAAUAAAAUUAAGAUGAUGUCAUUGCUGUUUGUUGUGAUAAUUGUGGAGAAAUUAUGUCUAGUAUUGUCUAGAAGAAAUCUGAUUAAUGAUGUUAUUUUCGAGUAUAGAAAUGAUGGAAAUCAUUGCAUUUCAUAGUCCCAAUAUCUUUAUAAUAAAUUCAUUUGCAAAUUCAUAAUUUUUGAGGUAAACUGGAUGGUAGCGCUCCUAACAUCAAAAAGAUUCAUAUUCCCAAUGAAGUAAAAAAUCUUUAUGUAAUUAGCUUCUAAAGGAAGAAUUUUUAUAAUCAUAAUCAUAAUCAACAAGACUUUUCUCAACUAAUAGAGAUCGGCUUUAUGGAUCCUCAUUCACCAAACUGAUGUUAUUCCAAUUUUCUCUAUAUCCUUUCUCACAACCCCCAUUCCUUGUUACUUUAUGUCUUCCCUUCUUUUUUCUACCAUCUUCUAUACAAAGCAAGGUACCUCUUUUUACUAGAGCCUCCUCAAAUCUUCAUUAUACAUGUACAUCCUGUUAGGAUCCCUCACAUGCCACAGAAAAUUCAAAAAAAAUUUCAGAUUUGCAGCGGAAGGGCAUGCGCGAGAUCCCAUCAUCACAUAAACGUAUUUUUAAAUCAUCGUUUGUAGAUAGAUUACGAUUAAAUUCUUUUAAACAUUUUAUAUCAUUAGGAAGAUCAGAUCUUCAUCUUGUGCGGAUAGAUGGUCUCCGCAAAUCUGAUAUUCGUGAAUUUGUUGAAGGUUCGAUGGAAGCCGCACAUGCGUCCGACCUCUACAGAUAUCCACACGAAGUAGUGAACCUAUCAAAGCUCUCGUAUCNNNNNNNNNNNNNNNNNNNNCGAUUAAAUUCUUUUAAACAUUUUAUAUCAUUAGGAAGAUCAGAUCUUCAUCUUGUGCGGAUAGAUGGUCUCCGCAAAUCUGAUAUUCGUGAAUUUGUUGAAGGUUCGAUGGAAGCCGCACAUGCGUCCGACCUCUACAGAUAUCCACACGAAGUAGUGAACCUAUCAAAGCUCUCGUAUCUCCCCGGGGUGCUAGCUCCCUUGCAGAGAUUACUUUAGAUGGUUGAGAUCCUCUCCUUUGAAUCAACUCUUGAUUGUCUUGAGAAGAGGAAGAAGAAGAAGAAGGAAUCUAGGAAGAAGAAUACAAGGCUCUUCGCAGCCUUUUCUUUUCCAUGCGCUAGAACCAAGGAAGAAGGUCCAAGAGGAGAUGCACGCCUCCUCUUCUUUUCUUCUUGCUGAUGGCGGAUGAAAGGAGGAAGAGAGGAGCUCUUGUUCACGGCUGAAUGAAGAAAAAAUACCAUAAAAAUUCGUAGCCCCUUUGUACCCCUCUUUUUAUGGUGUGUGAGGAUAGAGAUAAGCUCCUAAAUUUUAGGAGCUCAUCUUUAUCCUUUCAUUUUUCAAAAUAGGAGGGGCGUACGCCCCUCCUUUUUCCCUCACGCCAUCAGCCAAGGGAGGGGCAUACGCCCCUCCCUCUAAUCCCCUUUAGUCAGCCCCACUUAAUCAAAUUAAGUGGGGAUUGGGUUAGGUCUAGUGCUAGGAUUCAAUCCUAUUCAAAAUAGGAUUUGCACCCAUUUCAAUUUCCUCCAAAUCCUAAUCCAAUUAGGAUUUAAUUGAACCAUGACUCAAUUGAACUCUUCAAUCCUAAUCUAAUUAGGAGUCAUUAGAUUAAUUAGAUUAAAUUAAUUAGGACUUAUUAAAAUUUCAGUCCUAAUCCAAUAAGGACUCUAGAAAUCCUACUCCAAGUAGGACUCUAAUUUAAUUUGAAAUCCUAAUCCAAUUAGGAAUUUUAGAAUCAUACUCCAAGUAGGACUCGUGAUCAAGUCUAAUUAAUUAUAUCCAAUUAAUUAAAUUAAAUUACAAUCCGAUUACAAUUAUUCUUUUUUUAACUCACUAACCUUUAGGAAGUCAACAAAUUAUCAAUCAAAUUAAUUAUUUGUGAUUCCUAAUCACAUUCAACCAUCGGAUCGGUCAAUACCUCUAAUGUGUGUGACCUCAUAAGUUCUAUUAUGUCUGGUAGUCAGAUAUAUUGUGAUCUCUAUCACAAUAUAAUUGAAAACUUCUUUCAAUGGGUUGAAACAAUUCCAACUCAACUCACUAGGGAUCAUCGACCAUCAGGAUGGUCCCUGUGAGUCUCACCAUCCACCAGUGACACCUAGCAGCAUGUAGUGGCUACCCAGCAGAAUGGAAUGAGGAACCCUAUAGGUGCAGUUAUCGUAUGAUACAGUUCCUCUAUCGUGGAUCCCUACAGAUCGAAGGUCAUGGAUAACUCGUCAAACCCCGUCGUCUGUCAUGUAUCUAGAUUUAUUCGAUUUGAGUUCGAGAGUGGAAAACUCUUUCUCUACUUAUAUACUGCCCUGGCCAAGGUCUUAGAACUCAGUCUUAUAAAUCUCAUAGGAUUACUCCUCAUCUAUCAAGGUCGAUAAAUUUCAUGUAGGUGCAUACCCUACUCCUACAGUGAACCUACUGCAGCCAAUCUACACUACAAGAACCCAUAUGACUAGAGACCAUAUAUAUGUAUAGUCAAACUACAAUAACCUCACUGUGAGUAGCCGAAGCAUCGCAGGUUAAAGAACCAGUCAUACUACUGCAACAUCAAGCAAAUCACUGACGAGUGGAUAGACAUCCAAGUGACUUCUUGUCUUAAUCACGCUCAGUACCCUUAUUCUCUAACAAGCACCUGCGCUAUCACCCCAGUGUCCCUACACUGUGGACUCGAGUCUCGUCCAUCCAUAAGAAAAGCGAUCCGUACACUGAUCUUAUCGGAUCGAUCACCGUCCUCGUGAUGAUCCAUUGAUCAUGAGCAUUUAGAAAUUAAUCACCAAUGAUAUAUGGCUCAAAUUCUCAACUCUUGAGAGUAUGUAUCAUCAUCUUAUUAAUUCCUUGGACGAUUCAUAGACACAUAAACAAUAUGAAUGAAAAGAAUGCCCAUUUAUUAAUCAAUAAUAAUAAAGUCAAGUACAAAACUAUGUUCCAGAAUUAAUAAUGUGUCAGCCAGAUUGGCUUCUAGUGCAUAUAUCUAACAAUCUCCUACUUGCACUAAAGCCAAUCAGUCAUGUAUCUAAGUCCCAUCUUCUCAAGAUGUACUUCUAUCUUUUGCUAACUUAGCUGCUUAGUGAAUGGGUCCGCCACAUUGUCCGCGGAGUCUACUCUCUACACCUCAACAUAUUUCUUCUCAAGGUAGUCGCGUAUGAGGUGAAAGCGCCGCUCUAUGUGCUUGGACUUAUGAUGAGACCUUGGCUCCUUAGCAAGAGCUAUGGCGCCAUUAUUAUCGCAGCAGAGUGUGAUGGUAUCUGAUGGCAUUACAUCUAGCUCUGCAAUAAAUUUCUUGAACCAGAAGGCUUCCUUUGCAGCUUCAGAAGCGGCGAUAUACUCAGCUUCCAUGGUAGAAUCAGCAAUGAUCGGUUGUUUGGAACUUUUCUAAUUUACCGUACCACCAUUGCACAAGAACAUAUAUCCAGAUGUAGACUUUCUAUCAUCAAUAUCAGUCAUAAAGUCUGAAUCUGUGUAUCCUUCUACCUUUAACUCUGAUGCUCCUCCAAAAACCAAGAACAAAUCUUUAGUUCUUCUUAAGUACUUAAGAAUGUUCUUCACAGCUGUCCAGUACUCUUCGUCUGGAUUCGACUGAUAUCUGCUAGUGACACUCACAGCAAGGGCUAUAUCAGGUCGUGUACAUAGCAUGGCAUACAUAAGGCUCCCUAUUGCCGAACCAUAAGGGAUCCUGCUCAUGCAUUGAAUCUCUUCAGAUGCGUUGGGGCAUAUCUUCUUGGAGAGAUGAAUCCCAUGCCCAAGGGGUAAUAGACACCUUUUGGAGUUUUCCAUGCUGAACCUUUUCAGCACCUCCUCUAUGUACAUUUUCUAUGAUAGGCCAAGCAUCAUUUUAGAUCUAUCUCUAUAGACCUUAAUCCCCAAAAUAUAGGAUGCUUCCCCAAGAUCUUUCAUGGAGAACUCUUUUGACAACCAGACCUUGAUUGAGGUUAGCAUGAGAAUAUCAUUUCCAAUCAGAAGGAUGUCGUCCAUGUACAGUACGAGGAACACAACGGCACUCCCACUAACCUUCUUGUAAACACAUGGUUCCUCUUCGUUCUUGAUGAAAUCAAACGAUUUGAUUGCAUCAUUGAAACGAGUGUUCCAACUCCGAGAUGCUUGCUUUAGUCCAUAGAUGGAUCUUUGCAGCUUGCAGACUUUGUGAUCUCCAUCACUGGAAGUGAAACCCAAAGGCUGCUCUAUAUAGAUAUCUUCAUCAAGAUAUCCAUUCAGGAAAGCAGUUUUUACAUCCAUUUGCCAUAUUUCAUAAUCAUGAAAUGCUGCAAUGGCAAGCAAUGUUCGAAUGGAUUUCAGCAUGGUUCAGAUGAAAAGAUNNNNNNNNNNNNNNNNNNNNNNNNNNNNNNNNNNNNNNNNNNNNNNNNNNNNNNNNNNNNNNNNNNNNNNNNCCGUAACCUAUCUUCCUUUUGUUAGAUCCAUUUACAUCCAAUAGGUAUUAUACCUUCUUGUGGAUCUAUUGAGGUCCAUACUUGAUUGGAAUACAUGGAGUCUAUCUCUGACUUCAUGGCUUCCAGCCAUUUCUCGGAAUUGAUAUAUGAUAUCGCCUUAUUGUAGGUAUUGGGAUCCUGUACGUGUUCCCUAUCUUCCAUAAGGAACAUUCCCUCGGUAUCCUCUAUAAGCAUACCUAAGUAUCUAUCAGGAGGAUGGGAGACCCUACUAGAUCUACGAGGUGGAGGAGGAACUUCGUGUACUGGCUCUAUGUGAAUAGGUUCUGUAGGUUCCAUGACUCUUUUGCUUUUCAGAGACUCUCUCUUCAAGCUCAAUUUUCCUCCCACUGCCUCUAUCAAGGAUAAACUGUUUUUCCAAGAAGAUGACAUGUCGGCUCACAAACACAUUAUGAUCCUCUGAGAUGUAAAAAUUGUAUCCUAAUAACUCUUUAGGAUAUCCAAUAAAACGAGCACUUAUAGUCCUAGCCUCUAACUUAUCCGCCUGUAGUCGCUUGACGUGGGCCGGACACAUCUAAAUCUUAAGAUGACCAAGACUCGACUUCUUACAAUGCCAUAUCUCAUACGGUGUAGUAGGAACGGAUUUAGAGGGUACUCUAUUCAAUAAGUAAAUUACGGUAAGUAAGGCAUCUCCCCAAAGAAACAUAGGUAAAUCAGUGAAGCUCAUCAUGGAUCAGACCAUAUCUAAUAGAGUCUGAUUCCUCCUUUUUGACACCCCGUUGAGUUGAGGUGUACCCGAAGGCGUCCAUUGUGAGACUAUGCCAUUUUCCUUGAGAUAGUCCCGAAAUUUCCCACUAAGGUAUUCUCCUCCUCGAUCUGUUCAAAGAGCCUUAAGAGCUUUUUCAGUUUGUUUUUCUACUUCAUUUCUGAACUCUUUGAACUUUUCAAAAGAUUCAGAUUUGUGUCUCAUAAGAUACACAUACCCAUAUCGUGAAUAAUCAUCGGUAAAGGUAAUGAAGUACGAAUAACGGUCCCUGGCUAGCACAUCGAAUGGGCCACACACAUCAGUAUGAACCAGGGUAAGUAUUCCAGUGGUCCUCUCCCCAUGUCCCACAAAGGGUAGUCUAGCCAUAUUUUCUUGAAGACAGGACUCGCAAACUGGAUAUAACUCGGAAGUCAAUGAGCUGAGAAGCCCAUCUUUCUCCAUUUUAUUCAUUCUGUCCUCUCUAAUAUGGCCAAGCCUGAGGUGCCACAAAUACUUCUAGUUUAUCUCAUCUCUGGAUCUUUUGGAUCCUAUGGCACUCACUACUUGCUCAGACACAUUCACAGACACAUCGACAUGUAAGUGAUAGAGACUGUCAAUCAUGAAACUACGUGCAACUAAUUUAUUUCUGAAAUAAAUAGAACAUCAGUCUUUAUCAAAUGUAAAAACAUGACCAUCCUGUGCUAAACUCGAAACAAAAAUUAAAUUCCUGCUAGCAGCAGGGACAUAAUAACAGAUUUUAAGCAAUAAACUAAAACCAGACGGUAGUCGCAGAGGAUAGGUGCCCACAGCUACAGCAACAACUCUUGCCCCGUUGCCAACCCGAAGGAUUACUGCACCUUCCGCCAGCCUCCUACUUUCUUUUAGACCGUAGCGAAUGCCUCUUUCUCGCCACAAAUGAGCACUAGAACCAGAAUUUAUAACCCAACUAGAAGUAGAAGAAACCGUAAAGUAGGUUUCAAUUACGAGCAAGUCUAACAGACCUUUUGAAGGUGUGUCUACCUUUUUAUUCUUCAGGCUCUCGAGGUAUGAAGGGCAGUUCCUUUUCCAGUGACCAUCGACGUUGCAGUGGAAACAUUUUCCUUUGUCAUUAGCCUUUUUCUUAUGAAAUUCCUUCUUUGACUUCUUGUCUUUCUUCUGCUUCUUUGCAGUUCUUUUUCUUCCAAGUAGACUUUCUCUUGGAAACAGAAGUCAUCUCAGCAGUAAAAACAGAGCCCCUUAAAUCUUUCAAGGCCCCUUCAGCAGUUACCAACAUAUUCAACAAUUCAGUCUUAGUGUAUUCAAUCUUAUUUAUAUGGUAGUUUACUAUAAACUGCCCAAAUGAAUCAGGAAGGGACUACAGGAUCAAAUCUAUUUGCAAUUCCUUGUGCAUAGUCAUACUGAGCUUCUCAAGCUCCUCUAGAUCCUUGAUCAUAGUCAGACAGUGAUCAUGGACAGACUGCUCCUCGUGCAUCUUUGCCUUGAGGAGCCUCUUGAACACUUCAAAGCGUGCUAUGCAGCUUUGCUCACCAUACAACUCUUGCAGGUGUGCCAGUAUCUCCCUAGCAGUCUUCAUAUUCUCAUGCUGAUAUUGAAGUUCAUUAUUCAUGGAUGCCAUGAUGUAGCACUUGAUCCUAAUGUCAUCGUCCGUCCAUUUUUCAUGCGUCUCAUGCUGAUCAUCAGUCAGACGUGAUGGUAACCUUAGGAUAUCAUUCUCGAGCACAUAGCCUAUUUUCUCGCAACUCAGAACAAUUUUGAGGUUUCUAAGCCAGUCUUUGUAAUUGGUUCUGGUCAGUCGAUUGGUCUCAAAGAUACAAGUCAAAAGGUUCGAAGCUGACAUUGUGAUCUAUAGAGAGUAAAGAUUCUAGUUAGACUUUGUACUUGAUCUUAAUUUGUUCUAGAAACUUUUAAAACAAAUGUGCUCCCACUAUUUUCUCGAAUCCCUCAUACUCCCCUGAUGGAGAAAUGAAAACCCUAUGCGACUAGGGUUUCUAGUGGGUACUGCGGUCCCACCGAUUUACAUGCCGCCUCACCUAACAGUUAUUGGUGACAUAUAAAUGGAUGAGUGUAUAACUCUUGUACAAUGCUUCUUAAGCAAAUUGCAGUGGUACUUGGUCUCUAAGUUAUGAAGACCUCACCUAACAGUUAUUGGCCCCAUUCCUUAGUUAAGUCAGACCUACCAUAUAACCGCAGAAAUAAAGUCGUCAUUGGAUCCUCACCUAACAGUUAUUGGCGCUCAACCCCACCUUUACCCCGCAACAUCUUAUGUCUAAUAGAGAGGUCUAGUCCCCCGAUGCAACUUGCCUACUGUAUCCAGCCGAGACAAAUCAACACCAGAAAGACCUUAGCAACUCUACUACGGUGGAAGACCUAUGGACUUAAUAUUGCAUAAUCAUGUCUUAGUAUUUGCAACUUUGAGUUCUUCAUAAGAGGUAAUCGAGCAAUUGGCCAGGUAAGCAGGUGGGAGGCUCCUCUUACUCAGAAAGUAAGGUCCUAAUUAAGUAACCACCUUUUAGGCUUGCCUAGACACCAAUUAGAUUAAUUAAUCUAAUAUGACUAGCUCAUGUUGGUUCACUCUUGACUGAUUGAGGAAGUUUGUAUUUAGGUCUUUCUCGAUCGACUAUUCACAUCUCAUGUAAAUAUAUAUCUAUCCGCAUAGACAUAAGCAUAAACAUCCAUGCAUAAUAUCAACAAAUAAAUAUAACUGGUGAUGAUCAUGGAUCCAGGAUGGGGUCAUUUUACAAGCACAUGCACGUCAAUUGGUUUGAUCGUCUUUAACUUUUGACUCGAUCUUGAUCCCCUAGGUCCAAUUGUGAUCAACUCUUUGAUCCAUCUUCAAUCAACCCUUGAUCUCGAUCCGCGCAAAUCGUGCUUGUAGAGGCAUGCACCGAUCAACCAUUGACGUACAACCCACAUCACAGAUUAUAUCCCCGAUAAAAAUUAAAAAAUAAAAGAAUAAAUUACAACCCUUUUUUUAUGAGACACGCAGGUCUCUAAUACAUGAAUUUAAGAUGCACGCAGGCAUCUGAAAAUUAAAAUUACAUGCCAUCACAUAGCAUCAUAGAACAUCGCAGAAUAUUUCAGCAUAUUCAAAAGGGUCCAUCCAUGAUCAUCACCAUUCACAUCUCAUGCAUAAAUAUUAUUUUCAGAUUUAUAAUUUAACUGAUUAUUUUAUCUCAUGACUUGCUGAUUAUGCAAGAUAUGAUUCUAAACAUUUGUAAUCAGAUUAUCAAAGCAAUAGAAUCAUUAAUCUAAGCAUGCAAAAAUCAACAUACAAAAAAAUCAGCAAGCUGAAAAUUCUGCAUGCAGAAAAUUUCAGCAAGCAUAAUCUUUUAAAUUUCAGAUCUAAAAUGCCUUUAAUGAUUAAUCCUAAUCUUAAUCUAUAUAACCAUGGCUCUGAACCACUGUUAGGAUCCCUCACAUGCCGCAAAAAAUUCAAAAAAAAUUUCAGAUCUGCAGCGGAAGGGCAUGCGCGAGAUUCCGUUCAUCGCAUGAACGUAUUUUUAAAUUAUCGUUUGUAGAUAGAUUAGGAUUAAAUUCUUUUAAACAUUUUACAUCAUUAGGAAGAUCAGAUCUUCACCUUGGGCAGGUAGAUGGUCUCCACAAAUCUGAUAUUCGUGGAUUUGUUGAAGGUUCGAUAGAAGCCGCACACGCGUCCGGCCUCUACGGGUAUCCACACGAAGUAGUGAACCGAUCGAAGCUCUCGUAUCUCCCGGGGUGCUAGCUCCCUUGUAGAGAUAGCUUUAGAUGGCUAAGAUCCUCUCAUUUGAAUCAACUCUUGAUUGCCUUGAGAAGAGGAAGAAGAAGAAGGAAUCUAGGAAGAAGAAUACAAGGCUCUUCGCAGCCUUUUCUUUUCCAUGAGCUAGAACCAAGGAAGAAGGUCCAAGAGGAGAUGCACGCCUCCUCUUCUUCUCUUCUUGCUGAUGGCGGAUGAAAGGAGCAAGAGAGGAGCUCUUAUUCACGGCUAAAUGAAGGAAAAAUAUCAUAAAAAAUUGUAGCCUCUUUGAACCCCUCUUUUUAUGGUGUGUGAGGAUAGAGAUGAGCUCCUAAAUUUUAGGAGCUCAUCUUUAUCCUUUCAUUUUUCAAAAUAGGAGGGGCAUACGCCCCUCCUUUUUCCCUCACGCCAUCGGCCAAGGGAGGGGCAUAUGCCCCUCCCUCUAAUCCCCUUUGGUCAGCCCCACUUAAUCAAAUUAAGUGGGGAUUGGGUAAGGUCUAGUGCUAGGAUUCAAUCCUAUUCAAAAUAGGAUUUGCAUCCAUUUCAAUUUCCUCCAAAUCCUAAUCCAAUUAGGAUUUAAUUGAACCGUGAAUCAAUUGAACUCUUCAAUCCUAAUCUAAUUAGGAGUCAUUAGAUUAAUUAGAUUAAAUUAAUUAGGACUUAAGAAAUCCUAAUCUAAUUAGGACUUAUUAAAAUUUCAGUCCUUAAUCCAAUUAGGACUCUAGAAAUCCUACUCUAAGUAGAACACUAAUUUAAUUUGAAAUCAUAAUCCAAUUAGAACUCUUAGAAUCCUACUCCAAGUAGGACUCUUGAUCAAGUCUAAUUAAUUAUAUCCAAUUAAUUAAAUUAAAUUACAAUCCGAUUGCAAUUAUUCCUUCUUUAACUCACUAACCUUUAGCGAGUCAACAAAUUAUCAAUCAAAUUGAUUAUUUCUGAUUCCUAAUCACAUUCAACCAUCAGAUCGGUCAAUACCUCUAAUGUGUGUGACCCCAUAGGUUCUAUUCUGUCUGGUAGUGAGAUAUAUUGCGAUCUCUAUCACAAUAUCAUUGAAAACUUCUUUCAAUGGGUUGAAAUAAUUCCAUCUCAACUCACUAGGGAUCAUCGACCAUCAAGAUUUAUUCGACUUCAGUUCGAGAGUGGAAAACUCUUUCUCCACUGUACUGCCCUGGCCAAGGUCUUAGAACUCAGUCUUAUAAAUCUCAUAGGAUCACUCCUCAUCUAUCAAGGUCGAUAGAUUCUAUGUAGGUGCAUACCCUACUUCUACAGUGAACCUACUGCAGCCAAUCUACGCUACAAGGACCCAUAUGACUAGAGACCAUGUAUAUAUGUAGUCAAACUACAAUAACAUCAUUGUGAGUAGCCGAAGCAUCACAGGUCAAAGGACCAGUCAUACUACUGCAACAUUAAGCAAGUCACUGACGAGUGGAUAGACAUCCAAGUAACUUCUUGUCUUGGUCACGCUCAGUACCUUCGUCGGAAAGAUAUCGACUUUGAUAACAGCUUGAUCCAGAUCUAGCGCUGACCUUUGACGGCUGAAAUCCAAUCCCUUCGCCUCUCGGAAGCGAGAAAGGGAGCAGCAAGCGUAGACCCUUGUUCUCUAACAAGCACCUGCACUAUCACCUCAGUGUCCCUACACUGUGGACUCGAGUCUCGUCCAUCCAUAAGAAAAGCGAUCUGUGCACUGAUCUUAUCGGAUCGAUCACCGUCCUCGUAAUGAUCUAUUGAUCAGAAGCAUUUAGAAAUUAAUCACCAAUGAUACAUAGCUCAAAUUCUCAACUCUUGAGAAUAUGUAUUAUCAUCUUAUUAAUUCCUUGGACGAUUCAUAGACACAUAAACAAUAUGAAUGAAAAGAAUGCCCAUUUAUUAAUCAAUAAUAAUAAAGUCAAGUACAAAACUAUGUCCCAGAAUUAAUAAUGUAUCAGCCAGAUUGGUUUCUAGUGCAUAUAUCUAACACAUCCAUGAUAUCUCAACUAUUUUUUCAUCACUUUAUCCUUAAUUUGAGCAACUUUUAUAGCUCCUCUAAUACAUACAUUUCUUAUCUUAUCUUUUCUAUUUUCACCAUAAAUCCAUCCUAACAUUUUUAUUUUUGCAAUAUCCAACUUGUUUUUAUAUACAUUCUUUAUUGCCUAACACUUUGAGCCUAUAAUAUGAUGGGCCUUACUAUAAAAUCNNNNNNNNNNNNNNNNNNNNNNNNNNNNNNNNNNNNNNNNNNNNNNNNNNNNNNNNNNNNNNNNNNNNNNNNNNNNNNNNNNNNNNNNNNNNNNNNNNNNNNNNNNNNNNNNNNNNNNNNNNNNNNNNNNNNNNNNNNNNNNNNNNNNNNNNNNNNNNNNNNNNNNNNNNNNNNNNNNNNNNNNNNNNNNNNNNNNNNNNNNNNNNNNNNNNNNNNNNNNNNNNNNNNNNNNNNNNNNNNNNNNNNNNNNNNNNNNNNNNNNNNNNNNNNNNNNNNNNNNNNNNNNNNNNNNNNNNNNNNNNNNNNNNNNNNNNNNNNNNNNNNNNNNNNNNNNNNNNNNNNNNNNNNNNNNNNNNNNNNNNNNNNNNNNNNNNNGUCACUUCGGUCACCAUUCUUAAUUGGUAUGUCUUCAUUUUCAUUCUCGCUAAAUAUACAUUCCAUAUACAAUGUUUGUUCUACGAACCUUUAGGCCAUUCUCCUUGCAAGCUUUUCUCCAUAAGUCCAAUUUAGUAUUUAAUCUAAUUUUCUGCAUCAUUUAAUACUAUCCACAAAUAAUGUACAGUAGGAUACAUCUUUAUAAAUAUUAAUAGUAAAUUCAUCCGCAAUUAGAGCAAGAAGAUAUAAAUUAAAUGUUGAUCGUUGAUGAAAGCAAGAGAAGAAUUUUUAUUAGACAUAAACAAAAAAGAGAUCUUGGGCUGCGCUUGGAGCUUGUACACUGUGCUUUAAUCGUGCAGAAACAGCUGAUUAUCUAUUCCUUAGAUGUUCUAUACUAAAAAGAUUUGGGAGCAUUUAAAAAGGAAAUGGUAAGUUUGGGCGGGUUCAUUUUCAUCCUUUUAGAAGGAGAGAAAAAAUCAACAAAAGAGAAUUGGUGGCAGUAUUUUGAAAAUGUAAUUGGUACAUGAUUCUCUAUAUCGAUUCGUAUUGUCCUAUAUUUGGGGUAUCAUACCAUACUAGUAUCGUAUUGUGAUUGAACACAAUAUAGAGGAUGAAGCAACUUGAACUUUGUGGACUGAUUAAUUCAGUCCAACUUUGUAGUACACCAACUUGUACCAUCUAAUAGUGUUGUCGUGCCCCCAAUCCGAGAUUGAAAGCCGAGAAUCGCGACAACCACUGCAUACUCAUGGAAAACUCUCUCCACAAGUAUACACGGCAUUCCAACAUGAUAUCAAAUGCAUCACAGUGGAGAUAAUUUAAAUAACUAAAAGCCAUAAUUCAAUUAAUUAACAAAUCCAACUAUCAAAUAAAAUUUAAAUCUUACAUAAUUCAAACCUCAGACAAUAACCCUAAAAAGAUUAUAAUAAGACUAAAUCCAAACUAUAUAAAUAUUGUUGAAUCUCACUUCUAGUCUCAUUCUCAUAAUAGGGCCUACAUCUAGAAUUAAGUAUCUAAAUUUGUAAAGAAAAAAAGAAUAAUAAGAUCGACAGCCUAGUAAGUAAUGAAUAUCCUAACUAGAUAAUUUAUGUAAUAACAUAAGAUACAAUAGUAAAAUACAAAUUACCACGAAUCAAUAUAAAGAUAACCAAUUCUAUUUCCAAACACAAAUUCAUUAAAUCCCAUAUCUUUCAAAUAUCCAUAUACAUAAUUAUAAAUCCAAUUUGAAACAAAUUAUAUUUAAAUCAAUAACCUAUAACUCUGGUCAUACUUAUACCCUAUGGCUAGGCCAAAAAUAAAACCGCACUUAUACUCUAUGAAGUGAGUUGAAAUACUAUGCUUGUACCAUGUGGAGAGGACUAGAAUACUACAUUUAUAUAUUGUGGCGGAGCUAAAAGCAAAAUCGAAAAGCUCAAUAAUAGUCAGAGUGUCAAUGCAUUAACUUCCAAUUGGUAGGAUCUAGUACAUAGUCAAGUUGAGAGUUCAAAUAUGAUAUAUAUCCAAAUUCUUUUUACAAAAUAACAUAUAUAGCAUAAUCCAAUCAAAAUAUGCAUAUCUAAAAUAAAAUCAGUAAAUAAUAUAACAAUAGUUUGAAAAAUAUUACUCCUAAUUAUAUAUCUAUUUUUCAUUUAAAACACUAUCUCAUAAAAUUCAUAAAUUACAUAAAAUUUGAUUAACAAUUUAUUUUAUAUAAAAAUAGUAUUAUAUAAAUAAAAAAUCUAGAAAAAGCAGUUCAUUACUUACCUUACACGAAUAAUGAACAAACAACCAACUAAUCCUAAAAUCCUCCUUCAGAACCUAAUAUCCGAAUUUUUAAAAUUCAAAUAUGAUUAAUUUGAGAUUAAAAAUUUUAAGUUCCAAGACCCUCAUAGGGCUGACUAAGUAGGAGUGCCCGAUAUCCUAAUUGGUCCGAUCAAGAUGAUUUCAUCUGAUCAUGAUUGAGUAUAGAUGGUUCAACAGAAGUUAGGGUUGACUAAAUCUAAUAGUUUCCUGCAAGGGCAAAGGUGGGGCUUGCACACUGCCUAGUAGCUAAAAGAUUAGGACCCCCUUCACCAAAGUCAAUCCAAAAUCACUAAGAAGAGUGCUUUAUUGGAUCCAACAAUCUUAGCGAGAGCAGAGAGAGAGUCAUGUAGCGAAAAACAUGAGAGAAUGGGAAGAGAAAAAAAGAGAGAACAAGUUUCUUUCUUUGACCAGGGAAGAGGAAUGAAGAGGGUGGCUAUGGGUAAUGCCUCGGGGUCAAGCAACCCACAGUUGGCCAAUAGGCGGCCAAAGACUAGAAGCAAUAGGCAGUCGGUGACGCUAAAAUUGGUCAAAAAUAGCAUUUUCAAACCUCUUAAAUUAUGAAAAUCAAAGCAUCCCGGCGACUAGAGCUCCGGCCAUGGCUUCCAGCCACCAUGAUGGGCUGAAGGACCUUGACAAUGAGCAUCGGCGGCAGGACUAGCCGGAAAGAAGAAAAAAACGUCGAUCUACUGAAACACGGGAAACAAAGCAUCUCCUUUUUCACCAAAAAUGCGGCGAUCACUGCUUAGAAUUGGGCUUCCAGAGAUCACAGAAGAGGAGAGAAAAGUUAAACAAAUGUUGUCAGGUUUUUAUCUAGCUUCUAACGAUGAUUGGCAGUGGCAAUGGUGUUGGUAGCUAUCGGCAUUCAGAGAAAAAAUCCGAAGAAAUACUCUAGCAGUGGCUGGAUCUCCAUAGGGUAGAUAGGGUAAUGGGAGGAGCUAUAAAUAGAGCUUGGUUCGCAACCGGUAUCCGGCCCGGAGUUCAAUUCCAUCCGACGAACUCGAGAGAAAGAAGGGUCCCAUCGAGAGUCUUUUUCUCGCUCCGCACGUGCUAAGCGCAUGCCAAUUUUUUUUCCUCGUGGGCCAACUAUCAAAUCUGGGCCCGCCAAAUGGACCAGUUCCAAUUCUUUUGUUGGGUAUUACAAAUAUAUUACACCUUGAUCAGGGAUAAGCAAGAGGUCUCCCUUGACCCUAUAGUGUUAUAGUGUUGUACCGUACUAUACUAAGUACCAUACCAAUAAGGUACAGUAUAGAAUUUGGUACUAGUAUAAUGAACCUUGAUUUGGUGGAAGAUAUGGAAGGGUGGGAACUCAAGAAUGUUUAGAUUUUGUGCCAAAGCCCAUAUUUUACCUUUGAAGGAAGCCUCUAGUCUUUGAAGUCAAUGGUCCUUUGAAAUUGUGUUGAUCUAAACCAUUUUCAAGGCCUUAUAGUAUGCAAGCUUCUCUUGUUACAUGUCAUGAGCUUAAUGAAAUGUUGAUGGAUUUAUUACCCAUCUUUUUCUCAACAAAAGAAUAAACAAAAAUAUAUCAUUAACAUUUGAGAUCAAAUGAAAAUCCAGUAUUUCAAAAAUUAAAUUACCAAAUGAAAAGGAGUGAAAUUGCAUCUGAUAUGUUGAUAAUAAUGUAUUAUAUUGAAUUUUUAGAAUUCAAAAUAUGCAACUUCUGCAUCGAUAUGUUAUUGCUGCUCAUAUUCUCAUUUGCAAGUUAUUGCACACGUUUAAUUGUUGGUUGAAGAAUACAAUUGCAUACAACAUUUAUAUACAAACUUUGUUGUGCCAUUACUGGAGUUGUCAGCGCAUGACUUAAAUCUAUCAAAAGAUCAAGCAUAAUUUAUAAAAGAAGAAAUUUCUUUUGUUUUUUUUUCACUACUAUUAGAAUGCGAGAUGGUUUCAAACUUCGAUGUCUCUAACAAAUUUUCUUAUGCAUUAUGGUCUCCCAGAUGCUCGGCUUGAAUGAAUGUGCAGAUACAAUAAUAGGUGAUGAGAUGAGAAGGGGAAUAUCUGGGGGUCAAAAAAAGAGAGUUACCAUCGGUAUGGCAUAAAUUAAAUUACCUUUGCCAAUCUAAGUUUAUGGUUACAAGGAUCUCUUCGUACUCUCGUAUUUCUUGUUGAAAAUUUGAUAGUACUAACUAAACAUUAUGGCCUAAUUAAUUCCAUCUAGUACAUAUAUGAAUAAUUACAAGGCAUUGAUCGCAGGUAUUCUAUACUUCAUAGCUUCAUGAUAUAAGAACAUGUGCUUACUAUUGGCAAGUUUCAUGUUGUGGGGCUAAGAACAAUUGUCAACACAUCACAAUAAUUACUUUAUUGAUGUAGUAUACAGGUUCCUACUCUUCAAUAAUUUUGUGAAAACAAUCUUAUUUCAUCCUUAUUAGCUACAACUUGAGCACUCAAAAUGGUCUUUAAGAAUUUCAUUGGAUUGAUGGACGCGGACCACUCCCCUUGAGCAUGCCAAGAAAAUUUCCAAAAAAUGCAUUACUAGUUUCGUUGCAUCACAAUGUUUACAGUUUCUGCUCCCAAGAUUCCAGUUUGAGUGAAGCUCUUCAGUUUGAUCAUGUUUUAAAUCCUUAUCCAUCCAUCCAUCAGCUUGGACCAUUUUGUUCCAUCCAAUUCCAGCCAAUAUAAAUCCCCAUCAUAAAUCCAUCCAUCCAUCCAAGAAAACAUGAUCAAAUUUAUAUUGUACAAUCCACUUAUGUUAACUGUGAGAAAGUCCUCGUCCUCCCCAGCUACCAUCAACAAAUCAAGAAAAGUUUGCUUGUUUGUACCUCCAACUUGUAGAAGGAUUUGGUUUUUAGGUUGAGUAUGCAAUGGGGGAAACUGAAUUAAAGGAAAACAAAGAAAGACAGAGUGCGAAUGGGACUCCCCAGUUUUUUUCCUUCAGUGCUCAUAUCUAAACAUAAGUUCUCUCAUCUCUUCACCUCCUCCCAUUCCCAUCAUUUAGUUUCAACAAUUCACCUAUUUCUCCCAAACACCAGUAUAUUUAGAAUGAAAAUUUUUGGAGUAAACAACAGUCACAUUUUGCAAAUGUUAUUCAGAGAAAGAGGCAUGUUUUUGGAUUAUAACAUCAUGAAUGGCCAAAUACAUCUGUCAUGAUGCCUGUCUUAUAAGGAAUCAGAAACUAAACAUCUUGCCUUUCUUUAUAUAUGCAUGUAGAAUUAGAAUAUCAUGAAAUGAAAUGUCUUUUAUAAGUCAUCAAAAUAAACAGUUCAUAACCAACAACCUGUCAUGAGGCCGCUUCUAGAGGCUAUAAGUUUGGAAAUGUGGUCUGAUUCGUAUUGCGUUAGUUUUUGAUUUAUUUGGUAUAAUUACAGUUGUUUCUAAUUCUUUACCCUAGACUUUCCCUUUCUCUUAUUUCUGGGUUACAUUAAAUAAACUGAAACAGGGUGUAGUCUCAUUGUUUUUCUAAUGAAAAGGUGUUCAUAAGUUAUUGCUAUUUUCUUGUAGUCAUUAUAUUUUGCUCAUGUUAUAUUACUAUAGCAAUUCUGAGGAACCUUUCCAAGCAUCAUCCAAUAAAAGAAAUAGGAAACAAGUUGAUUUUCUAAAACAUAUCAUAAUCUAAUUGAAGGAUGGUUGACCAGUUUCAUAACAUCACUAAUAUACUCAAAUACUGAUACUAGUCAAACAUUUCUAAGCUACAUAUAGAAUACUUGUUAUAUGUAUUACUUUUCUGAAAUUUUUUAAAAAACAUGAGAGACUUCUUCGAUAUCAUAUUUUCCCUUUGAAUCCAGGGAUGCAGGGAAAUGUUUUUAAUUUUAAAUUUUCUUUGAUGAAUUUAAAGUUUUUAAUGAUAAAUAGCUAGCAUUGGAGAAUGUAAUGUUGUCACAUUGAUGUUAUGGGAUGGAGUAUAUCGCUAACGGUCUAUUGCUUUGAAUGACCAUUAAAUAUGAAGUCUGUGGAUAUAAAUGCUAUUGUAUAAAGUAUGGACAUGCUAUUUUGUUAAUCUAUUAUACUUUAUUAUAUGUAAACAUAUAUAUAUUAUCUUCGUUAGUCUUAUCAUAUUCUACUAUUUCAAGAUUUGCCUAUUGGCAUGUCAGGAUCAUGUCGUAUAUGUGUCCCAUAUUCAUAUCCAAACUUUAUAGGUUCAAAUUCAUUCAGUAAAUAUAAGAGCAGCUCAAGUAAUAGCUGAAACCAAUGAGCCUUGCCUCUAGCCAGUGAGAAUAGUAAAAUUGUUUUUUCUUUUUAUAUUAGGAAGGAAUAACUUUUCAAUGGUGAUGCUAACAGCAGCAUAUGUUUUGGACCAUGUAAUUUAAGCAAGCUUGUUUGUUGGAAAAUGGAACAAAAGGUGGGGGAACCGGGCAUACCAACCAGUGAACCUGACCAAGAGAUAUCAGUGGGUUGGAACAAAUGGUCAUGGAAAAGGUAUGAAGAAUGGCACCAAAUAAUGGGAGAAAUUAUCUUGUACUAGAAUCUAGGAGGACAAAGAAGUGGAGAAAGAAGCAACUUUGCAUUUAUAAAACAUUAGGCUUGACUUUAUCAAGGCCAAGAUGGUUAAUUUUGGCCUUACUUUGAGACAAUAAAGGCAGGACUUGAAACUGACAGGUUAUCAUGAGAAGGUUAUAGCUAAUGGAAGGGAGCAUCUUACAUAAGCAAAAAAAUAAGUUAGUAACUCUGUUUUCCUUUUUUUGUUCUUUUUUCUUCAGUAUAAUCUUUUGGGAGGAUUGGAAUGGGUGGGAUAUGCCAUCAGGCAAUAUGUAUUUACUUGAACAUGAAUUGUUGUAUAUGCAAAAAGAUUUCCAAUAAUUCUAAAAGUUAACUACCAGUAGUUGUCAAAAUUGAUAAUAUAAUAAGAGGUUAAAAAUGUGGAGUACGGAUGCUAAUCAUUACUUAGGAUAUCUUUGUGUAUCAUGUCUUUUUAUUUAGUACAUUUUCCUAUGUAACGUGUCUUCUAUAUGAAGUAAAUACCAAAGAAAAUCUAUUACAAAUGAUAAUGUAAUCUCAUUACUUGCAAAGCAUGAAUUAUGGAUUUAAUUUGUAACCUACAAAGACAAAUCAAACUUGUAACAUUUACAUAUUCACUUAGGUCAAUAAGAAAGGAUUUGAUUGCCAAAAUCCUACUAGAAAUCAAACUUCCAAUAUGAUCAAAUUGGAGAUAGCUCC
rnacentral:lncRNA from 1 species